rnacentral:rRNA from 1 species
UGGAGCUGCGGCUUAAUUUGACUCAACACGGGGAAACUCACCCGGCCCGGACACCGUAAGAAUUGACAGAUUGAUAGCUUUUUCAUGAUUCGGUGGAUGGUGGUGCAUGGCCGUUCUUAGUUCGUGGAGCGAUUUGUCUGGUUUAUUCCGAUAACGAGCGAGACUCUAGCCUACUAAAUAGUUGGCUCAUUGCUGCUGUGGGCACAACUUCUUAGAGGGAUUUUCGGUGUUCAGCCGCACGAAAUUGAGCAAUAACAGGUCUGUGAUGCCCUUAGAUGUCCGGGGCUGCACGCGCGCUACACUGGCAAAAUCAGCGUGCUUGUCCUUCCCCGAAAGGGGUUGGUAAACCGGUGAAAAUUUGCCGUGAUUGGGAUCGGACAUUGCAAUUAUUGUCCGUGAACGAGGAAUUCCUUGUAGGGGCGAGUCAUCAACUCGCUCUGAAUACGUCCCUGCGSCUUUGUACACACCGCCCGUCGCUGCCCGGGACUGAGCCAUUUCGAGAAACUCGGGGACGAUUAUGCGUGUCGGCUUCGGUCGUCGCGUUGAAUUGG